rnacentral:rRNA from 1 species
CGGGAAGGCCAUAUGGCGACAUAGAGCGGAACCCGAAAACCCGUCUCAGUUCGGAUUGGAGUCUGCAACCCGACUCCAUGAAGCUGGAUUCGCUAGUAAUCGCGCAUCAGCCACGGCGCGGUGAAUACGUUCCCGGGCCUUGUACACACCGCCCGUCAAGCCAUGGAAGCCGGGAGUGCCUGAAGUGCGUGAGCGCAAGCAGCGCCCUAAGGUAAAACCGGUGACUGGGGCUAAGUCGUAACAAGGUAGC